rnacentral:rRNA from 1 species
UGGGGAAUUUUGCACAAUGGGGGAAACCCUGAUGCAGCGACGCCGCGUGAUUUAGAAGGCCUUCGGGUUGUAAAAAUCUUUUUUACGGGAUGAAAAUGACAGUACCGUAAGAACAAGGUCCGGCUAAAUACGUGCCAGCAGCCGCGGUAAUACGUAUGGACCGAGCGUUGUCCGGAAUCAUUGGGCGUAAAGGGUACGUAGGCGGCCUAGUAAGUUAGAAGUGAAAUAAUAUAGCUCAACUAUAUAAAGCUUUUAAAACUGCUAGGCUUGAGAGAUGGAAGGGAAAGUGGAAUUCCUAGUGUAGCGGUGAAAUGCGCAGAUAUUAGGAAGAAUACCGGUGGCGAAGGCGACUUUCUGGUCAUCAUCUGACGCUGAGGUACGAAAGCGUGGGUAGCAAACAGG